AACGCACAUUGCGCCCGCCAGUAUUCUGGCGGGCAUGCCUGUUCGAGCGUCAUUUCAACCCUCAAGCCCCCGUGCUUGGUGUUGGGGAUCGGCCACCGCCCGCCUCACGGCGCGGCAGGCCGGCCCCGAAAUACAGUGGCGGUCACGCCGCGGCAUCCUCUGCGUAGUAGCUAACACCUCGCACCGGAACGCGGCGCGGCCACGCCGUAAAACAACCCAAACUCUGAAAUGUUGACCUCGGAUCAGGUAGGGAUACCCGCUGAACUUAA
rnacentral:misc_RNA from 1 species